rnacentral:rRNA from 1 species
GAUAAACGCUGGCGGCGCACAUAAGACAUGCAAGUCGAACGGAAGUCGUUAUUAAGUGGAUUGAAGAUUUAUCGGAUUGAAACUUAAUAACAAUGGCUUUAGUGGCGGACUGGUGAGUAACGCGUAAGCAAUCUACCUAUUAGAGGGGAAAAACAAUGAGAAAUCAUUGCUAAUACCGCAUAUGCCAUAAGUAUCACAUGGUACUAGUGGGAAAGGAGUAAUCCGCUAAUAGAUGAGCUUGCGUCUGAUUAGUUAGUUGGUGGGGUAACGGCCUACCAAGACGACGAUCAGUAGCCGGACUGAGAGGUUUGAACGGCCACAUUGGGACUGAGAUACGGCCCAGACUCCUACGGGAGGCAGCAGUCGGGAAUAUUGCGCAAUGGAGGAAACUCUGACGCAGUGACGCCGCGUAUAGGAAGAAGGUUUUCGGAUUGUAAACUAUUGUCGUUUAGGGAAGAAAAAAGACAGUACCUAAGGAGGAAGCUACCGGCUAACUACGUGCCAGCA